GAAUUUGCCCUGACAGACACAGAGCCUGGGGCUGGAGAUUUUCUGAGAUGCCUCAGGCUCCUUCCCACAAAUUUCGCAUCAGCUUGAGCUCAGUGGGAGUAGAAUCUGCCACCGACAAACUCCUAAGAUGGCUUUGUUCAUUCCCACCUUCAUCAUAAAUCAGGUUGGGGUGGAGAAGCAAUAUCCCUAAGGGAAAAAUAAAAGUCUCCAAGCUAGGACUUUCAGCCUGGGGCCUGACAUUGCACAGAAAAUGGCCACUGCAGUCUCACAGGAACGCAGCCAGUCAAUGGUUUUCCUGAAACAAACUCUCAUCAUCUGAGAGAACCUGCAUGCACCUCUGCUCCCUGCACCCCAGAGGGAACCAGCAGUGUGCCCUGGGAAAAGCUGGGGCCCCACAGGUCCCAGUCUCUGAACAGGGUCUCGUAUAAAGAAGCACCGUCCAGCAACUAUUGCAGCAUUCACUGGCAUCUCGAAGACAGUAUCAACGAGUAUCUACAUCACAACCCGUAACCUCGCUCCUCAAGUUCCCUGUCCUCCCCUCCCAACCCCUGUACCCACAGCUGAUCGUGAGCCUCACACCCACCCACCUCCAGCAGUGCCAGAUUCACUCCUUACUUCCCCACUCUCUUCAUAUGGAGAGUGACAGCUUCCCUAGGUCGUAGAAGAAAACAACAUGGACCACUUGCCAGCGUCUCUUUGAACAGAGAAGCUACUGCUGUCUAAGGAAAAUUGAGAAGCAAAGCAAAACAAAACAGUGCCUCACUGCCAUGGUUGAGUCGGAGGGAAAGAGUGCGAAUGCAGCCGGAAGACUUAGCACAGCGCCCCGCACACGCCGAACCGGAAGACAGCACAGCG
rnacentral:lncRNA from 1 species